rnacentral:rRNA from 1 species
ACUCAAAUGAAUAGACGGGGGCCCGCACAAGCGGUGGAUUAUGUGGUUUAAUUCGAAGCAACGCGAAGAACCUUACCUAGGUUUGAAAUCCUGAGAAUCCUCCCGAAAAGGAGGAGUGCCCUUCGGGGAAUUCAGAGACAGGUGCUGCAUGGCUGUCGUCAGCUCGUGUCGUGAGAUGUUGGGUUAAGUCUCGCAACGAGCGCAACCCCUAUCCUUAGUUGCCAGCAUUAAGUUGGGCACUUUAAGGAGACUGCCUGGGUUAACCAGGAGGAAGGUGGGGAUGACGUCAAGUCCUCAUGGCCUUUAUACCUAGGGCCACACACGUAAUACAAUGGUCGGUACAAAGGGAUGCGAACUCGCGAGGGGGAGCCAAUCUCAAAAAACCGAUCUCAGUCCGGAUUGGAGUCUGCAACUCGACUCCAUGAAGUUGGAAUCGCUAGUAAUCGCGGAUCAGCACGCCGCGGUGAAUACGUUCCCGGGCCUUGUACACACCGCCCGU